UGAUAAAAUGCAAUUGUGUUCGUUGUCCGUAGCUUAUGCCUGCCCAUACCAUAACCCCACCCCCACCAUGGGGUGAAGAAGCUGGAUGUGGAGGUCCUGGGCUGGCGUGGUUACACUUGGUCUGUGGUUGUGAUACUGCCAGCUUAUGGUAGAGAAAUUAACAUUAAAUUCUCCAGCAACAGCUCUGGUGGACAUUCCUGCAGUCAGAAUGCCAACUGCACGCUCCCUCAAAACUUGAGGCAUCUGUGGCAUUGCGUUGUGAGACAAAACUGCACAUUUUAGAGUGGCCUUUUACUGUCCCCAGCACAAGGUGCACCUGUGUAAUGAUCAUGCUGUUUAAUCAGCUUUUUGAUAUGCCAAACCUGUCAGGUGGAUGGAUUAUCUUGGCAAAGGAGAAAUGCUCACUAACAUGGAUGUAAACAAAUUUGUGGCAAAAAAUUGAGAGAAAUAAGCGUUUUGUGCAUAUGGAAAUUAUUUGGAAUCUUUUACUUGAGCUCAUGAAACAUUGGACCAACACUUUACAUGUUGCGUUUAUAUUUUUGUUCAGUGUAGUUUUUAGCUUCUGUCAAAAAACGAUCAGCCACUUGGAUGACCAAAAAAGACACUUGGUUGGUUGGGAACACUGCCGGCCUUGAUUGUCAAAAUGGUUUGCUCUUGAAGAAAGAUAAUUGUUUUCAGUAUACUGACUAACAAGGUGUCUGCGUUGAAAAGCAUGGUUGAAGUUGAUGAUUGAAAAAACAUGAAAAAGUUUACUCUGUAGUAUUCAUGAAAAUGCACAAAUGAGUGAAAAACUAUGUUAAGUUAUACAAUGGGGACUUGGACUACAGCUUAGUAAAAAAAGACGGGAACUUGAGUUUUUUGUUUACCUGACCAAGGUAAGUCAAAAGCACUGGGUUCUUCCCUCUUUUUUUUGCCUUCUGUGUCAGGAGCACUGUCCACUGCCAGGAGAGAAGAGCAGCUAUACGGCAUCCAAAUAAGAAAGUCACUCAGUUGUCAGACAAAACUCCCUACUACCCCAUGAGACUUUCUACAGUACUAUGGAUGCCAGGCAGACAGUGUCUUUCAGACACACUGGGUGGACAUAUGUAUAUCACUGGGCUGGGUUCAAGUCACAAAGCAGCAAUAAUUUGUGCAAUUUUAGCUAUUUAGUUUUGUUUCUUCACAUCUGGUCAGACUUUGUAAUUGGUGUAAAUCGAGAGCUUAUUAUACCACCUAUGAGUGUCAGUGAUAUUAUAGGUUAAGACCCUAGAAUAAUGUGCACUUGAACUUCAAUCCUAGGCCUGGUUUUGCCCCAACCAGUAUUUUCCAACUGCUUAUUCAAACUCGAAAAAGCCUUUACCUGCAACUGAAUGUGGUAGUAGAGCAUGGCCAAAGUGGAGGUGGAAAGGCCUCAAACACUGGUUGGUCAACCUGGACCAUGAGUUUAGUAGCUAAAGCAAACAGUAGCUCCACUCAAAUGUCCCCACAGUGCUCCGUUCCACGACAAGCAGAUGGGGAAAUUAUGAGCUUUUGUGCCUUGGGUAUUUAUUUCACUCUAAAUUAACAAAAAUUAUUUUUUCUGUUGUCAGUCAAAGUAACAUUGAUAAAACGUUGAGUAUCUGGAAAUGGUCACCGAGUCAGACAGCCCUCUGCCCCUAGGUAGCAGAAGUUACAUAUAGCCUGGUUAUACCAGUCUGAACACUGCAUUUACCAAUCUGGAUGCCAGACUAGACCUUACAGGCAAUACUUAUCACUCCAUCUGGCUACUAGUGUUACUACAUUAUUACGUCAUAGUUUACCUGAGCUCUUAUCUCAAGCGUGACUUCCCUACUUCUAACAUGUGGUUUUGUGUCUGAUGUUUCUGAAUCUAAAGGCUCUUCUUUCUGUUUGAUGCACUUUAUAAUUAAGACUACAAACUAGAUCCAGAGAAUAGUGUGACUGUCACUCUCCAACGCUAUCUGCAGUUCAUGAAUUCAAAAGCUUUAUUCUGUCUGUUGUAUGGUUUAUUUACAGAACUCUUUAUGUUAGGGAAACGUAUAAGACCACAGCUGACUACACACAGCAGGUCAAGGCAAUACUUAUCAUCUAAAUCUAACCUAUGUAUACUGUUCAGUCUGAUUAGGUCUAGUCCAGGAGUAGCACAUGUCAAUGAGGUAGUGAAUGUACUUUGGGGCAGAGAAUGGUGUACAGAGUAGACUACUGCCUGUCUCUUACUGUUCAUCACCUUCCAAUGGCGUUACCCUGUUACAAUCAUAGAAUUAGAAUCUCGUUCUAUUUCUAGAAUCCCAAUCUAUUACUAUGGUUAGAAUUCUUUCCGCUUCCAUCUUGUUCCACUAAAUGAUUACUACCGUACAGUAUAUGAGAAGACUGAUGCUGUGUAACAGUUUGAAAAUACCCUUUUCAAUAUCCUAGACCUGCUGAACUGUCAAAUGUUUUCCUCUGUAUUUUAAAGACCUAAUGUAAUAUUUCCUUUAUGUAAGAUAUUGUGAAUUAUAUUAAAAAAUGACA
rnacentral:lncRNA from 1 species